AACAGUUUUUACACCAGUUUUGAAAUAUAUUAAACAUUUAUUAAACUUGUGGUAUUUAGCAAUGAUUUAAGAAAGCAAAUUAGCCACUAUAGCCACGUAUUCCCCAAAGCAAUAAAAUAAGAUUUAGCGUUUGAAGUUUACGUGUGGCGCAUAAAUUUCAUGCUUUAACGACUACAAUUAGCCCUCGUAGCAUGCAGUUCAAGUAUGAAAUUUAUACGCCAAACGUCAACUUCAAACGACGAAUCUUAAUUUAGUGAUUUGGUGAAUACAUAACUGUGGUUAAUUUGCUUUCUUAAAUCAUUGUUAAAUACCACAAGUUUAGUUGUUUCAUAUAUUUUAAAACUGGUGUAAAAGCUGUUAUAACAGAGUCGUAAAAUCAAAAACUUCGUUAGCGGUUUGUCGUUUGUCGUUUAACAUGUUACUGAAACCAAAGAUCGUUAAUUAAAACCGUUAAUAAAUGGCAAGCUUAAUUCACGCAUUAAUUUAACGUGUAUCAACGUGCAAUGCAUAUAAUUUUUAAAGUGCAUAUUUUCUCAACAAUCUGUUUUACACAAUCGGGGAUAUGGAUAAUUCUACCGAUUCCGAUUGUUUACCGAUAAGGCAAAAAUUGGCCAGAUGCCGAUACCGAUUAUCGGUGAAUCACUAGUAUUUGGCGUGGUUUUGAUCACACCAUGUCAAGUCGUGGCCUACAAGCAGAAUAUAAUCUAAUGUGGAUUUUGUUGAGCACGAUAUUUUAGCACAGUUAUGCGCAUCAUAAUUUUAACGCAUCACAUUUACUUAUGUAUUUCUUGUUAAAUAAACUAUUGGACGAGAAACGACUAGAGUACAAACUUGAAAUUUCCAGUGUCUGCAGUGAACAAGAAUGUGCUUCGUAAGCAUGCGGUUCCACGCAGUUUGACCACCAACAAAACUUACACAAUACCUGCUGUCUGUGUUGAAUGCGUUCAUCGAGAACGACGCGUUCGUUGUUGUAUUUGCCAAUUGGAUUUAUCCGUAGCUAUUUCCAGCGCCCGGUUUACCGUUUAGUUGGCGGCAAAAUUGGUAUGUUUUACAUUUUUUAACAAAUACAGAGUGUUGCAUUCUUUAUAAAGGGUUUAUAAAGACAAGUUAUUGUGGAUGCAUACUGUUUUGGGGUUUCUCCCAGAUCUCCCUUCUUAUACACUAUCUAUGCAGCACUGGGCUGAAUACUUACCUAAUAUAGUAAUAUGAACACUUUUUGGAUUAAUUGGAAACAAAGGUGAUCAGUGUGUGACUAUUAACUAUGGUGUGACUCGUUCUUUAUAGAAAGAUUAUUUCUAGAUUAUUCGCAAGAUUACUUAGAGAGAUUUACAUUGUAUUUUAUUGUCAUAAUUAACCAAUCACAAAACCUGAUUCAUAGCUUCAAACACUCAUUGCUGCCGACCGUAGGGAGGCACCACACUAUUCUUGACGCUUAGGUUUACUAUGCCUGUGCAUUAGUGCCAGUCCCUUUCCCCGAGCUAUAUAAAGCCAGAAAGAAUCUCGAUUUGCAACUUGAUUCGGAUGGAUAAUGGCAUUUUGUGUUAGGCAAAUGUGAAAUUUGUAUGUACAGGAACACAGUUUGACUUAUAUUCUCUUUCCUUGUCCACAUUUCAAUAUUUACUUUACAGAUAUUACACUAUGUUUGCGAUGUUACUCUGAGUGCAUAUCCACACCGGGCGAGCUUGAAAAAUAUGCCCGGCCACGGUGGGAUUCGAACCUACGACCUUUGGAAUGUAGCCCAAAAAAAAAAAAAAAAAAAAAAAAAAAAAAAAAAAAAAAAAAAAAAUAGAUAUUACACUACUGCUAUCAAUAUAAACUAUGAAUCUGAAAAUCCCCGGACUUGGAAAUCAAUCUGUUUGAAAUGUAACACUGCUCGUAGUCUUGCUACUCCACUCUCUUGUUCCUGAUAGUUGUAUUUGUUCUCGUAAAUUAAGUUAUGUUAAUGUAAUUGUAUAUUUAUAUAGUAUAUUUGUAAAAGGGCCCACAGUAAUUGGUUUUUAUACUGUUGUGGUGACCCUGCCACUCUUUGUGUGGUAAAGUUAUAAUAUAAUAUAAUAUUCUAUGCUGGCCCCAAAUUUAUCAGUCGUAAAUAGGGAUCAAUUAUAGCUUCCAAUUCAAUGACAGAACUGCGACGUCUUAUGGUUUACCAAUGAGUCUCCAGAUUUUGGGGCUGAACUCCAUGUUUCACAGGUGGACUUACAAAUCUCAUGGUAUAACGUAUUUCAGAAAAAUUGUUUAUGUUGAUUAAAUUCUGCAUCUUUAAAUGCAAAGAAUAUGAUUGACAACACUGCACAUUUUCUAUUUUUUUCUAAUUCUAAAUCUGAUGAAAAAAUGUUUCAGUAGCAGAGGUAGAGGCCGACUAUUCGAUAAACCAAUAUAUGUUCGAAAGGUGUAUUCUUAUCAUUACCUUUUAACACUUUCUAGGGCAGGAAAUAACAUUGUAAUGGCCAUAAAAACAUUUUUUUUAAUGGGGCAUGCUAAUGAAUUGCAUGAUGGACAUGUUCAGCCCAUGCAUCUGUUUAUACUGGCCUCGCUGCUAAUAACCUCCAGGUUUUUAAAGGGGGCAGUAUGAUCAAAAUUUUUAUUUUCUUAAACGAAAGCGCUCGUAAAACUGUAUAAUAACUUGUUUUGAAGAUUUUUGUUCUCAUGCUUAGUUCUUGAGAUAUUUCAUUUUGUUUGUAACCAUGUG